rnacentral:rRNA from 1 species
GUGAACGCUGGCGGUAGGCCUAACACAUGCAAGUCGAACGGCAGCACAGUAAGAGCUUGCUCUUACGGGUGGCGAGUGGCGGACGGGUGAGGAAUACAUCGGAAUCUACUUUUUCGUUGGGGAUAACGUAGGGAAACUUACGCUAAUACCGCAUACGACCUACGGGUGAAAGCAGGGGAUCUUCGGACCUUGCGCGAUUGAAUGAGCCGAUGUCGGAUUAGCUAGUUGGCGGGGUAAAGGCCCACCAAGGCGACGAUCCGUAGCUGGUCUGAGAGGAUGAUCAGCCACACUGGAACUUAGACACGGUCCAGACUCCUACGGGAGGCAGCAGUGGGGAAUAUUGGACAAUGGGCGCAAGCCUGAUCCAGCCAUACCGCGUGGGUGAAGAAGGCCUUCGGGUUGUAAAGCCCUUUUGUUGGGAAAGAAAAGCAGCAGGUUAAUACCCCGCUGUUCUGACGGUACCCAAAGAAUAAGCACCGGCUAACUUCGUG